AUUGAACGCUGGCGGAAUGCUUUACACAUGCAAGUCGAACGGCAGCACGGGGCAACCUGGUGGCGAGUGGCGAACGGGUGAGUAAUACAUCGGAACGUGCCCAAUCGUGGGGGAUAACGUAGCGAAAGUUACGCUAAUACCGCAUACGAUCUACGGAUGAAAGCGGGGGAUCGCAAGACCUCGCGCGAAUGGAGCGGCCGAUGUCAGAUUAGGUAGUUGGUGGGGUAAAGGCUCACCAAGCCAACGAUCUGUAGCUGGUCUGAGAGGACGACCAGCCACACUGGAACUGAGACACGGUCCAGACUCCUACGGGAGGCAGCAGUGGGGAAUUUUGGACAAUGGGCGCAAGCCUGAUCCAGCCAUUCCGCGUGCAGGAUGAAGGCCUUCGGGUUGUAACUAGCUUUUGUUACGGAACGAAACGGCGAGCUCUAAUACAGUUUGCUAAUGACGGUACCGUAACGAAUAAGCACCGGCUAACUACGUGCCAGCAGCCGC
rnacentral:rRNA from 1 species